GUGAAAUUUGGGUUAUUAGAUACCCUGUAAGUCCACGCCGUAAACGAUGAAUGNUAAGUGUGNAGGGUUUCCGCCNUUCAGUGCUGCAGCUAACGCAAUAAGCAUUCNGCNUGGGGAGUACGACNGCAAAGGUGAACUCAAAAGGAAUUGACGNGGGCCNGCACAAGCGGUGGAGCAUGUGGUNUAAUUCGAAGCAACGCGAAGAACCUUANCAGGUCUUGACAUCUUUUGACAAUCNUAGAGAUAGGACUUUCCCUUCGGGGACANAAUGACAGGUGGUGCAUGGUUGUCGUCAGCUCGUGUCGUGAGAUGUUGGGUUAAGUCCCGCAACGAGCGCAACCCUUAUUGUUAGUUGCCAGCAUUAAGUUGGGCACUCUAGCAAGACUGCCGGUGACAAACCGGAGGAAGGUGGGGAUGACGUCAAAUCAUCAUGCCCCUUAUGACCUGGGCUACACACGUGCUACAAUGGACGGUACAACGAGUCGCAAGACCGCGAGGUUUAGCAAAUCUCUUAAAGCCGUUCUCAGUUCGGAUUGUAGGCUGCAACUCGCCUACAUGAAGUCGGAAUCGCUAGUAAUCGCGGAUCAGCAUGCCGCGGUGAAUACGUUCCCGGGCCUUGUACACACCGCCCGUCACACCAUGAGAGUUUGUAACACCCAAAGCCGGUGGGGUAACCUUUUGGAGCCAGCCGUCUAAGGUGGGACAGAUGAUUAGGGUGAAGUCGUAACAAGG
rnacentral:rRNA from 1 species